rnacentral:rRNA from 1 species
AGUGAACGCUAGCGGUAGGCCUAACACAUGCAAGUCGAACGGCAGCACAGGAGAGCUUGCUCUCUGGGUGGCGAGUGGCGGACGGGUGAGGAAUACAUCGGAAUCCACUCUGUCGUGGGGGAUAACGUAGGGAAACUUACGCUAAUACCGCAUACGACCUACGGGUGAAAGCAGGGGAUCUUCGGACCUUGCGCGAUUGAAUGAGCCGAUGUCGGAUUAGCUAGUUGGCGGGGUAAAGGCCCACCAAGGCGACGAGCCGUAGCUGGUUGGAAGGGAUGAUCAGCCACACGGGAACUGAGUAACGGUCCAGACGCCUACGGGAGGCAGCAGUGGGGAAUAUUGGAAAAUGGGCGCGAGCCUGAUCCAGCCAUACCGGGUGGGUGAAGAAGGCCUUCGGGUUGUAAAGCCCUUUUGUUGGGAAAGAAAUCCAGCUGGUUAAUGCCCGGUUGGGAUGACGGUACCCAAAGAAUAAGCACCGGCUAACUUCGUGCCAGCCGCCGCCGUAA